UUAAAAACUACGACUUUGAAACUGAUGCUGAUGAUGCAGGAGAAAUAGUGGAACAGGUCAAUCACAUUAUCAAGUCCAACAUGAGUGGGAAAAGAUCAGAAUACUUGUCUUCAAAAGAAAGAAAAUCUGACAAAAGAAGAUCUUUAAGAUCAUAGCCAUUGUAACAAGAACUACUGAAGCUUUCUCACACUAUUAAAUGAUUUAUUAAUAAAAACCA